GGGAGUUUGGCCGAGUGGUUAAGGCGCUGUGUUUAGGUCUCUUGUCUUCCAACGAAGAUCUUGAACUUGUUUCCGCAGUGGGAAACCGCGCAGGUUCGAAUCCUGCAGCUCUCA